UACGGAGGGGGCUAGCGUUGUUCGGAAUUACUGGGCGUAAAGCGCACGUAGGCGGCUUUGUAAGUUAGAGGUGAAAGCCCAGGGCUUAACCCUGGAAUUGCCUUUAAGACUGCAUCGCUAGAAUCGUGGAGAGGUAAGUGGAAUUUCCGGUGUAGCGGUGAAAUGCGUAGAUAUCGGAAGGAACACCAGUGGCGAAAGCGGCUUCCUGGUCCGACACCGACGUUCAGGCACGAAAGCGUGGGGAGCAAACAGG
rnacentral:rRNA from 1 species